UCGUUGAAGAGGCAGAGAAAAGUUGUCAACUGAAGCGACAGACCCCAAAAACGUUGUAUUAUAUCGCACGCACACCAUCUUUGAUUCGCAUCUCUGUCUCAGCACACCUUCUGCAAAUCUUUCCAGAUCUCUAUCCGCCAUGGCCUCUUCCUCCAAUCCCUCAAGCCAAGAGGCUGCUGUACGGAGGCAAAACAAGGGACCCCCAUAUAAGUUCUUGGUCCCUCUUAUCUAUGCUCCUGUACUUCCUCUCAUUCGACUCUCCCUGAGGAAGAAUCCGGUUUUGAGGGACCGUUUGUUUACUAUUGUGCUGGCUGGGGCAUUUGCUCAUGGCUUUUAUUUGGUAACAGAUAUAUACGAUGCCGAGAGCAAGUGAUGCAUGACGCAUGGGUUGAUCUGUUGGCCUACAGAGUACAGCCAACUAUAAUAUAUUUGCGGAUCUUGUUCAGAUGUUUUAGUUGCACCAUGAGGCAUCUAUCUGAAUUUACUAUAAGAGUGUUUGGUCAGUGGUGUAUGCAUUCCAGGUCACUGAUCCAUUUAAAAUUUUACAUAGGCAAUGUUUGAAAUUUAUCUUGAUAAUACAAUGACAAAAAUUUUGUUAAAUAAAAUUUAGAGUUUCUGCUUCUAGUAAGUUAAUUGAGGGUCAAAUCAAAGAGGAAAAAAAAGAGUUGACGGUGUAUGUAUAUCCAGGACAACCGUUUGCCAGCACUUUUCACAUGUUUCUUGGAGGCUUAUACCUUUAUUCUCCAUAGCUUAUUGACAAAAUUUUCUUGUUGUGUUUCUGUGGAUGGGCCAACAAUAUUACAAAAAUUGUUUGCAAGAUUGAUAUUGUUGUUUUUAA